UGGGGAAUUUUGGACAAUGGGCGAAAGCCUGAUCCAGCAAUGCCGCGUGUGUGAAGAAGGCCUUCGGGUUGUAAAGCACUUUUGUCCGGAAAGAAAUCCUUGGCUCUAAUACAGUCGGGGGAUGACGGUACCGGAAGAAUAAGCACCGGCUAACUACGUGCCAGCAGCCGCGGUAAUACGUAGGGUGCAAGCGUUAAUCGGAACUACUGGGCGUAAAGCGUGCGCAGGCGGUUUGCUAAGACCGAUGUGAAAUCCCCGGGCUCAACCUGGGAACUGCAUUGGUGACUGGCAGGCUAGAGUAUGGCAGAGGGGGGUAGAAUUCCACGUGUAGCAGUGAAAUGCGUAGAGAUGUGGAGGAAUACCGAUGGCGAAGGCAGCCCCCUGGGCCAAUACUGACGCUCAUGCACGAAAGCGUGGGGAGCAAAACAGGAUUAGAUACCCCUGGUAGUCCACGCCCAUAAACGAUGUCAACUAGUUGUUGGGGAUUCAUUUCCUUAGUAACGUAGCUAACGCGUGAAGUUGACCGCCUGGGGAGUACGGUCGCAA
rnacentral:rRNA from 1 species